rnacentral:rRNA from 1 species
GACGAACGCUGGCGGCGUGCUUAACACAUGCAAGUCGAACGGUGACCCAGGGCUUGCCCUGGUGAUCAGUGGCGAACGGGUGAGUAACACGUGGGCAACCUGCCCCUGACUUCGGGAUAACUCCUCGAAAGAGGAGCUAAUACCGGAUACGACCACUUCGGACAUCCGAUGGUGGUGGAAAGUUUUUCGGUCAGGGAUGGGCCCGCGGCCUAUCAGCUAGUUGGUGGGGUAAUGGCCUACCAAGGCGACGACGGGUAGCCGGCCUGAGAGGGCGACCGGCCACACUGGGACUGAGACACGGCCCAGACUCCUACGGGAGGCAGCAGUGGGGAAUAUUGCGCAAUGGGCGAAAGCCUGACGCAGCGACGCCGCGUGAGGGAUGAAGGCCUUCGGGUUGUAAACCGUCUUUCUAGCAGGGACGAAGCGAAAGUGACGGUACCUGCAGAAGAAGCACCGGCUAACUACGUGCCAGCAGCCGCGGUAAU